rnacentral:rRNA from 1 species
UUCGCCCUUGGUUGAUCCUGCCGGACCUGACUGCUAUCGGAUUGAUACUAAGCCAUGCGAGUCAUUGUAGCAAUACAAGGCAGACGGCUCAGUAACGCGUAGUCAACCUAACCUAUGGACGGGAAUAACCUCGGGAAACUGAGAAUAAUGCCCGAUAGAACACUAUACCUGGAAUGGUUUGUGUUCCAAAUGAUUUAUCGCCGUAGGAUGGGACUGCGGCCUAUCAGUUUGUUGGUGAGGUAAUGGCCCACCAAGACUAUUACAGGUACGGGCUCUGAGAGGAGUAGCCCGGAGAUGGGUACUGAGACACGGACCCAGGCCCUAUGGGGCGCAGCAGGCGAGAAAACUUUGCAAUGUGCGAAAGCACGACAAGGUUAAUCCGAGUGAUUUGUGCUAAACGAAUCUUUUGUUAGUCCUAGAACCACUAACGAAUAAGGGGUGGGCAAGUUCUGGUGUCAGCCGCCGCGGUAAAACCAGCACCUCAAGUGGUCAGGAUGAUUAUUGGGCCUAAAGCAUCCGUAGCCGGCUCUGUAAGUUUUCGGUUAAAUCUGUACGCUUAACGUACAGGCUGCCGGGGAUACUGCAGAGCUAGGGAGUGGGAGAGGUAGACGGUACUCGGUAGGAAGGGGUAAAAUCCUUUGAUCUAUUGAUGACCACC